rnacentral:rRNA from 1 species
UACGAGGGGGGCAAGCGUUGUUCGGAAUUAUUGGGCGUAAAGGGCGCGUAGGCGGUGCGGUAAGUCACCUGUGAAAUCUCUGGGCUCAACUCAGAGUCUGCAGGCGAAACUGCCGUGCUGGAGUAUGGGAGAGGUGCGUGGAAUUCCCGGUGUAGCGGUGAAAUGCGUAGAUAUCAGGAGGAACACCUGUGGCGAAAGCGGCGCACUGGACCACAACUGACGCUGAGGCGCGAAAGCUAGGGGAGCAAACAGG